rnacentral:rRNA from 1 species
GAUGAACGCUGGCGGCGUGCCUAAUACAUGCAAGUCGAGCGAAUGGAUUAAGAGCUUGCUCUUAUGAAGUUAGCGGCGGACGGGUGAGUAACACGUGGGUAACCUGCCCAUAAGACUGGGAUAACUCCGGGAAACCGGGGCUAAUACCGGAUAACAUUUUGAACCGCAUGGUUCGAUAUUGAAAGGCAGCUUCGGCUGUCACUUAUGGAUGGACCCGCGUCGCAUUAGCUAGUUGGUGAGGUAACGGCUCACCAAGGCAACGAUGCGUAGCCGACCUGAGAGGGUGAUCGGCCACACUGGGACUGAGACACGGCCCAGACUCCUACGGGAGGCAGCAGUAGGGAAUCUUCCGCAAUGGACGAAAGUCUGACGGAGCAACGCCGCGUGAGUGAUGAAGGCUUUCGGGUCGUAAAACUCUGUUGUUAGGGAAGAACAAGUGCUAGUUGAAUAAGCUGACACCUUGACGGUACCUAACCAGAAAGCCACGGCUAACUACGUGCCAGCAGCCGCGGUAA